AUCCUUAUAGGGCAGCUGAAAGGCACAACUCUGAGAGAGGUGACUUCAUGGCCAGAAGAAAAAAGAGAAACUGUAGGCCUCAUCUUGAAUAGACUAGCUACCACAUUUGAUACAAGAGCAUUAUCGGAACUUAAGGUGGCCUUUUACACGAGAAAGCAGCAGCCAAGAGAAACGCUGUGUGACUUUGCACUCAGUCUACAGGAGGCACUUCGAGCACUACAGGCAAUCGAUCCAACAGAAAUUCGUCCAACAGAUGAAAUAUUGAUUAAUCAAUUUAUAGAGGGAUCCCAUGGUGAGAUAGUGAAGUCACAUUUACGCCUCUUUCAGCUACAGUUAUCAAAGAGCUCAUUUUUGUGCUUCAAAUAAGCUGCCAUUAAAGUGGUAGGGACAUUACAGAGACAAGAAAUGUCCUGUCCAGAGAUGUUGGUGAACCAAGAAGAGAAAUAUCCUCUAAAGGUCAGAAAGCAGGAAUUUAUGGAUCCGCACACACCUAAAGAAGUUGUUGUGCAGGAUGAUCAGGUGCCAAAGACCGAUCUAUUAAGUACUAUAGGAGUGCAAGUCUCUGAACUGACCCAUGGGGUAACUGAAAUGUUACAGCAAUUACAGUAUUUCAUGCAGCAACAAGUAAAGUGCACACGAGGGACAGAUUGGAGCAUCAUUGAAGGACAGCCUAGAGAUGUGAACCUUCAUUCUGUAGUCCAAAAUCAAAGUGAAGUGAUAGCCACACCAGCUACAGACCCAGAGCCUGAAGUCAGUGCAAGGAAAGUUAUGGGGAAAGUCAUUUGGUUUAAUGUGCGUUAUGGCUAUGGUUUCAUAAAUCGGCAUGACACUAAGAAAGAUGUGUUUGUACAUUGUACAGCCAUAAAGAAGAACAACCCCAGGAAGUAUUUCUGAAGCCUGGAUAGUGGAGAAACAGUUGAGUUUGAUGUUGUGAAUAGAGAACAAGGUCCGCAGGCAGCUAAUGUAACUGGUCCUGGUGGUGUUCCUGUGCAAGGCAGCAGAUAUGCAGCAGGUCCAAAGCAUUAUUGGCACUAUCCACGUCACAGAGGUUCUCCACAUAAUUACCAGCAGCCCUACCAAUAUGAUGAAGAUAUAGAGAAGGCUGAGGAAGCGGAAAGUGGGACGGAGAGUAUAUAUUGACAACAGCCUUAUAGGGGAAAUCACAACUCACCAUCUUAUCCAAGGAGAUCAUAUGGAUGCACACAGCAAUAUCCUGUUGUCCCAGAGCAUAGUGAUUUAUUGGGACGAAUAGAUGAGAAAAUCUUGGAGGGACAAAGUUACACAGUGCAGCAGAGCCAGCAGAAUAUAGUCGGACUACAAGUUCCUCCACAGUCAGCAUGUGAGGGUAAGGCCAGAGUGGAGGAUAAUGGGUCUAAUACAACCUACCUUGAUCAGGCAGAUUCAGCUGAACAGGAAAUGGACACAGAGAAAGUUAUCUCCACGGCUGCAGCAGAAGGCUUGGGGGUUCUCCCUAUACCCAAUAUAACGGAUUUAGUUAUGUCAACGUCUGAACCUCAAGUUACAGCAAAAUCCUCUAAUGUAGCUAAGGAGCCUGUUACUUGGCUUUUCCCAGAGUGGCAUCGCCCAGACUGCGAAUACACCACAAUAAGUGGUAAGGAGUUUGUCUCAAUUAUGCAAAAGUUAUCGAGACUCUCAGGAAAGAGUCACAAAGGGAUUUCUACCCAUUAAAUACUGACAAUAGGGUAACAAAAAGUGACUGUCUUGCAGGAAACUUUGUAGGAAGUGACUAGGUAACAUAUGUAUCAAUCUGGCAUGUUACUUGUAGGUAGUUCAUUAGAAAAAUGCACCAAACGGAAGUGUUUAAUACCACUGUUACAAUAUAGCAAGAUACUAAUGUUUUCUAAACUUACCUGUUAAUUGUAACUAAUUGUGAUCUACUUUACAUAAUGGAAGAAGUACUGUAUGUGUAACAAUACUGUUGUUUUAAAGUUAGUGGGUGAGAUUCAAAUGAUAUAUCACGCCCAAUUUCCUUUCUAAAAUGAUCUCCGUUAUCAUGCAUAUUGCGCCCAUAGUAAUCAGGUUUAGCUGUGCAAAGGGUUGGGUGACUCGCUACUCCGGGGGUAGCGAGCUGAAAUAAUGAUACAACGUCCCUGAGGGCAGAAACAGAACGAGUGUGGAAAGGGGUGAAAAGAAUUGAAUCCCGCCCAGUAUGUUCAAGGAAUAACUAGAGGUUUAAAAUGCGUAAGGACACGCAUAAUUCAAGAGGGAUUGUAUGUGACACCCCAUUGGAGCUGUCACAAACUGUGGUGUGACUUUUGUGCCCCUUACCCUGCUGAGUGUAGCACUGUUUGGAUAUUAUUAUGAAACAGAUGGCAGUGAAAGUUAACUGUGCCCUGAGUGCUGCAACUGUCACUAGGACACUGACCAGUCAGCAAGAGGCGUAUGGUUCCAAGGGAGAGAUCCGGCUUAUGCUGUGGCAGUUACAGCUGGGUGCUGGGACAGUUGGCAGUUGAAUGGCAGCCAUCUUAGCAAGUGGUACUGACAGGAGGAGCUGAGAGAAAAUGUUGGCGCUGCUGCUGUGAUUCCUAGCUAGGGAGGCAGGACAGAGACGCGGCUCUUGGAGGUGAAAGAACCUGCAGAUAUUCCAGGAUGGUGAGCCCCCAGAGGUGACAGAGGAGACAGAGAUGUACCGCCUUCCCAAAAAGGCUUGUGCAACUACUAAGCAGUGAGAAAUCCUGACAGGAUCAUCAGGAGAGUACUAACCACGAAGGUCCACAUUCACCCAGUGGAGGUCAUAUAUUGCCCAUCUUCUUGUAUAGAAGUCACAUCACUUGACUAAAUUAUUGUAUUGGUCACACCAUCACCUUAAAGAAUAAGGUUGUUUCACGUGCGAAUAUUGGGAAUAGACCCACUAUUUUGAUCAUCUUUCUGUUUAGAAUUUGUCUGUUGAUUUCCCCUGAUGAAGUCCUAACAAGGAGAAAACGCAUCGGGAUCAGAACUCUUUUUCAAGGACAAACAAGCAUCAUUAAUAAUAUCGUAGAGGUUUCACUUGUCCAAUACAUGACUGUUUUUAAUAAAUAUUUGUACAUUUUUAAA